rnacentral:rRNA from 1 species
GUGGGGAAUAUUGGACAAUGGGCGAAAGCCUGAUCCAGCCAUGCCGCGUGUGUGAAGAAGGUCUUCGGAUUGUAAAGCACUUUAAGUUGGGAGGAAGGGUAGUAACCUAAUACGUUGCUACUUUGACGUUACCGACAGAAUAAGCACCGGCUAACUUCGUGCCAGCAGCCGCGGUAAUACGAAGGGUACAAGCGUUAAUCGGAAUUACUGGGCGUAAAGCGCGCGUAGGUGGUUCAGUAAGUUGGAAGUGAAAUCCCCGGGCUCAACCUGGGAACUGCUUUCAAAACUGCUGAGCUAGAGUACGGUAGAGGGUGGUGGAAUUUCCUGUGUAGCGGUGAAAUGCGUAGAUAUAGGAAGGAACACCAGUGGCGAAGGCGACCACCUGGACUGAUACUGACACUGAGGUGCGAAAGCGUGGGGAGCAAACAGGAUUAGAUACCCGGGUAGUCC